rnacentral:rRNA from 1 species
CCUACGGGAGACAGCAGUGAGGAAUAUUGGUCAAUGGACGAGAGUCUGAACCAGCCAAGUAGCGUGAAGGAUGACUGCCCUAUGGUUUGUAACCUUCUUUUAUAAAGGACUAAAACGAGUCACGUGUGCCUUUUUGCAUGUACUUUAUCAUUAAUGAUCGGCUAACUCCGUUCCAGCAGCCCCGGUAAUACGGAGGAUCCGAGCGUUAUCCGGAUUUAUUGGGCGUAAAGGGAGCGUAGAUGGGAUGUUAAGUCAGUUGUGAAAGUUUGCGGCUCAACCGUACAAUUGCAUUUGAUACUGGCAGUCUUGAGUACAGUUGAGGUAGGCGGAAUUCGUGGUGUAGCGGUGAAAUGCUUAGAUAUCACGAAGAACACCGAUUGCGAAGGCAGCUUACUAAACUGUGACUGACAUUGAUGCUCGAAAGUGUGGGUAUCAAACAGGAUUAGAUACCCGUGUAGUC